ACAGGGUGACAGGUGGUGCAUGGUUGUCGUCAGCUCGUGUCGUGAGAUGUUGGUUAAGUCCCGCAACGAGCGCAACCCUCGACCUUAGUUGCCAGCAUUCAGUUGGGCACUCUAAGGGUGACUGCCGGCUAAAAGUCGGAGGAAGUGGGGAUGACGUCAAAUCAUCAUGCCCCUUAUGACCUGGGCUACACACGUGCUACAAUGGGCGGUACAAAGGGUCGCGAACCCGCGAGGGGGAGCCAAUCCCAAAAAGCCGCUCUCAGUUCGGAUUGCAGGCUGCAACUCGCCUGCAUGAAGCCGGAAUCGCUAGUAAUCGCGGAUCAGCAUGCCGCGGUGAAUACGUUCCCGGGCCGUU
rnacentral:rRNA from 1 species